rnacentral:rRNA from 1 species
UACGAAGGGGGCUAGCGUUGCUCGGAAUCACUGGGCGUAAAGGGUGCGUAGGCGGGUCUUUAAGUCAGGGGUGAAAGCCCCCAGCUCAACUGGGGAAGUGCCUUUGAUACUGGCCAUCUCGAGGGAGGUAGGGGCGUGCGGAACUUCCGGUGGAGCGGUGAAAUGCGUAGAUAUCGGAAGGAACACCGGUGGCGAAAGCGGCGCGCUGGACCUCUUCUGACGCUGAGGUGCGAAAGCCAGGGGAGCAAACGGG